GCCGGGUGUGGUGGCGCACGCCUGUAGUCCCAGCUACUUGGGAGGCUGAGAUAGGAGAAUCGCUUGAAUCCAGGAGGCUGAGGUUGCAGUGAGCCAAGAUUGUGCCACUGCACUCCAGCCUGGGCAACAGAGCGAGACUCCAUCUCAA
ensembl:misc_RNA Metazoa_SRP Metazoan signal recognition particle RNA